rnacentral:rRNA from 1 species
GACGAACGCUGGCGGCGUGCCUAAUACAUGCAAGUUGAGCGCUGAAGGUUGGUACUUGUACCAACUGGAUGAGCAGCGAACGGGUGAGUAACGCGUGGGGAAUCUGCCUUUGAGCGGGGGACAACAUUUGGAAACGAAUGCUAAUACCGCAUAAAAACUUUAAACACAAGUUUUAAGUUUGAAAGAUGCAAUUGCAUCACUCAAAGAUGAUCUCGCGUUGUAUUAGCUAGUUGGUGAGGUAAAGGCUCACCAAGGCGAUGAUACAUAGCCGACCUGAGAGGGUGAUCGGCCACAUUGGGACUGAGACACGGCCCAAACUCCUACGGGAGGCAGCAGUAGGGAAUCUUCGGCAAUGGACGAAAGUCUGACCGAGCAACGCCGCGUGAGUGAAGAAGGUUUUUGGAUCGUAAAACUCUGUUGGUAGAGAAGAACGUUGGUGAGAGUGGAAAGCUCAUCAAGUGACGGUAACUACCCAGAAAGGGACGGCUAACUACGUG